rnacentral:rRNA from 1 species
ACGGGGUGCAGCAGGCGCGAAAACUCCGCAAUGCACGAAAGUGUGACGGGGCUACCCCGAGUGCCAUCCGCUGAGGAUGGCUUUUCUUUGGUAUAACUAGCCAUUGGAAUAAGGAGAGGGCAAGACUGGUGUCAGCCGCCGCGGUAAUACCAGCUCUCCGAGUGGUAGGGAUGAUUAUUGGGCUUAAAGCGUCCGUAGCCGGCUUAGCAAGUUUCCUGUUAAACUCAGCGACUCAAUCGUUGGAUCGCGGGAAAUACUACUAGGCUAGGAGGCGGGAGAGGUCAACGGUACUUCUGGGGUA